GAAAAGGUAUCCCAACGUCUGUCCAAGAAUGUUGAAAUGUUGAAUGUUUUGAAGAAACGUGUUGUUCAGUACAAACCGUCACACUACCUAGCUACUGUUUAAUCAAACUGAAUGCACCCCAGAGACACCUGACACAGCCCCCAUUCUAUCUCAUAGAAGUGGGUCUGUGUCUAUUGUCUCUGUGGUUCCAGCCAAUCAGCUAUAAGGACAGGUAUAAAACCUCUGUUGGGUCUUUUAACAAAGAGAUAGAGGACUCGUGUGAUGACUUCCACCCACCAUGGAGCUCUCCCUGUGUUCUCUGUCAGUUCUGACGCUAGUGGCUGUUGUGUUCAUGGUACCAAUGAAAGACAGAAGUGAUGAUGUGUUAAGCUUUUUGAAUGGUGCCCUUGAUGUUGCUCCCGCUACUCAAAGCACCUCAGGAAAAAUCAAAGGUCCCAAGAACACCUUUGGUAAACCAGCUCCAACCCCAGGAAGCCCAAGUCCUUUAAGACCAACAGAGAACUCUGCAGAAAUCUCAAAUGUUACGCAGACUGCAAACUCUGCUUGUUUAACAGAUGUUGUAGACUCAGAUGCCAGAUCCAAAGAGAAAUGCAACUCCGAUGAUCUUACAGAUGCAGAACGAUCUGAAAGUAACUCCGCAGAAAGCAGAGAGGAUUAUGAUGACUCUCUGGGAUCUAAUACAAAGAUGACACAAACUGUGACAGACGACAGUAGCAGCGACGAGACUGACAGUUCUCCUCCAAGUGAUGUGAGAAAAUACAAACAACCUCCAGGAAGGAGAACCAUAAACCCAGACCAUGUCGACAGCAUGCAGACAACCACCAGGCAGGAUCCAACCAAUGGGAGCGAGGAGCUGGAUAGAGAGACUCAGAGGGACCCCACAGUGGGGAGAGAGAACCAGCAGAGUGCUCAUUGAUCUCAACAGUGAAGAGGAUGUGAUGAUGGGCUGUCAGGGUACUGUCUGUGUGCCCGGAGAGCAGUGGACUACAGUCAAUGGAGAAACCAGAGAUGACAUCAGCACUGAGACGAACCCAGUCGUGAUUGGUUAGCCUCCAGGAGCCCCAGCCAGGAGCCCCAGCCAGGAGCCCCAGCCAGGAGCUCCAGCCAGGAGCCUGUCAGUGCCAGAGGCUUCCUCCAGGUAGAGUUGGCUCAGCUCUACCCUGCAGGGCCUGUAAAUCUCCCUGCCUCUCACUCGUGUGUCGUCUCCCUCAAGCUCCACCGACUCUACCAGACCGCAGAGUCCCUCUCACACUUAUAUUCAUGACAGAGACGUCAGUAAAUCUGGAUAUUUACCACCAAUUUUUCACUUGAUCUUGAAAUGGUAUAAAUGGUAUUCUGACAGCAGCUGUGCCCCCUGGUCUUACUGCCGGUAGUCAAUUUGAAUUGUAGGUGAAUGGAAAUAAGAUGUUUGGCUCCAAAUUGAUCUGAUCAAUCUGAUGAAAUAAAGGUUUCUCAAAAAGAA